rnacentral:lncRNA from 1 species
GCUUCCACAGAUACGAACCAAGCUGCUAGGCACAUUCUUGUACAUGUCCUUUGCAUACCUCAGUCUGCAUUUCUGUUGGGAAUACAUGUAUCUAGGAGUGCUAUUAUUUGAUCACAGGGUAAAAAAAAUACAUAGCUACAUUUGUCACUUUAUUCUGAAGUUUACAGGCAAAAGCUGCUGAUGAUACGGAUUGAUAGCGAUGUCCACUUUUCAUUCCUGGCACUGGGUUGUAGGAAAAAUGAGAUGGAGACAGGGACAGAGAAGAAGUGGGGAAGAGAGAAGAAAGGAGGAGAAGGAAGAGAAGAAGAAGAGGAGAAGGAGUAAGAUGAGGAGGAGGAAACAGUAAUCUUUGUGGCUUUCAAAGCCAAGAUAUUUAUCAUUUGGUCCUUUACAGAUAAAGCUUGCCAACUCAAGUU